GAUGAAGAACGUAGCGAAAUGCGAUAAGUAAUGUGAAUUGCAGAAUUCAGUGAAUCAUCGAAUCUUUGAACGCACAUUGCGCCCGCCAGCAUUCUGGCGGGCAUGCCUGUUCGAGCGUCAUUUCAACCCUCGAGCCCCCCCGGGGGCCUCGGUGUUGGGGGACGGCACACCAGCCGCCCCCGAAAUGCAGUGGCGACCUCGCCGCAGCCUCCCUGCGCAGUAGCACACACCUCGCACCGGAGCGCGGAGACGGUCACGCCGUAAAACGCCCAACUUCUUAGAGUUGACCUCGGAUCAGGUAGGAAUACCCGCUGAACUUAAGCAUAUCAAUAAGCGGAGGA
rnacentral:misc_RNA from 1 species